rnacentral:rRNA from 1 species
UACAGAGGGUGCAACGUUGUUCGGAAUUACUGGGCGUAAAGCGUGCGCAGGCGGUUAUGUAAGACAGUUGUGAAAUCCCCGGGCUCAACCUGGGAAUUGCAUCUGUGACUGCAUAGCUAGAGUACGGUAGAGGGGAUGGAAUUCCGCGUGUAGCAGUGAAAUGCGUAGAUAUGACGGAGGAACACCGAUGGCGAAGGCAUCCCUGGACCUGUACUGACGCUCAUGCA